rnacentral:rRNA from 1 species
UACGGAGGGUGCAAGCGUUAUCCGGAUUUAUUGGGUUUAAAGGGUGCGUAGGCGGAUUAGUAAGUCAGUGGUGAAAGCCCGUCGCUUAACGGCGGAACUGCCAUUGAUACUGCUAGUCUUGAGUAUGGUUGAGGUGGGCGGAAUGUGUCAUGUAGCGGUGAAAUGCUUAGAUAUGACCCAGAACACCAAUUGCGAAGGCAGCUCGCUAAGCCAUAACUGACGCUGAGGCACGAAAGCGUGGGGAGCAAACAGG